UGCCAAGAGCAUAGUGAUUGUUGGGAUUUAAAGGAAUAAAUUUCGUUUUUUGGCUUUAUUGGUAUACUUGGACAAUAAAAGUCAUGUGAACAAUGUCAAAUGUAAAGUUUAAAAUAAAUCAUUCUUGUUCAUGGAGAUUAGUUUUGUUUUUUAGAUCUUUUUACAUUUUAAUCUCCCCAAAAUCACAUAUUUAGAUAUGAACAUUUUGCCAAAAGAGGGCAGUAUUCGCCUACAGUAGAAUGUAAAGGGACUGAAACAUUUCUGCAGAGACAAGGAUGAACUUAUUUUCCUCUUAAGAUUGGUCUACUAGUCUGAUCAUCUGGGAUUGACCAUGCAAGUUUUAAUUUGUUUUCUAUUACUUUUAUGGAUUUAAAACAUUUUUGUUUGAAAAUGUUAGUCUUUAAAGAUAAAGCCAAAAAUCUGUUUAAAAAUACCUGCUUACAGAAUGACCAAAAAGUAGAUGUUUUCAUAUUUAUUAAGUUUUCAGACACGUCCUCAACGAGGUGCUGCUCACUUCAGGGAAAGAUGGCCAGUUCAAACUGCUGAUGAAAAGUCUGCAACCAGCAAGACCA
rnacentral:lncRNA from 1 species